UCGUCGCCUUCCUAGGGUGGAAGUAUCGGCUGUCCCAGCGAGAGGCUGGAUUGUAUUUCGGAGCCUGCGGGUCGGAGCGAACGCCGUAACCCCGAAAUGCUGCCACAGUCUAUAUGGGCGUGCAUGCGUCUAGAACCGACAGUACUACCUACCCUGAAGUGUUCAUCGCAAGAUCCACAAGAAUGGACGUGGAUGCCAAGAAUCCACAAGAAGCAGAUGCAACCAUUGAUUGAUCAGGCCUUAAAGCAGAAGCAACAAAUGUUUUCCACAUUUCCUUGGCUUUAAUUGCUGAUUAUGAAACGUGAGUCAUAAGGCAAAUGGGAGGAGCUAUACUGACAGAGACAAACGUUGGAAACCUUUAUAAAAUCUUGAAGUAUUUUUCUUCUUUAAGCUUCUGGCAUCACAUCACUGAUCUUCUCCCUGCUCUAGACAUAAAAACUUUCAAGUUGUCUUAUGGAGGACGUGAUUCAGGGAGGACAGGAGAUGAAAUAAUGGCUUAAUCCAGAAAAUCUGCAAAGAGAGAAAAGAGAAGAAAAAGUUUAGUUGCUCAGGUUUCUCCUGGGGAAUAAAUAUAUUAUCGUUUUCCUUUA